UGGUUGAUCCUGCCAGUAGUCAUAUGCUUGUCUUAAAGAUUAAGCCAUGCAUGUCUAAGUAUAAGCUUUUAUAUGGUGAAACUGCGAAUGGCUCAUUACAACAGUUAUAGUUUAUUUGAUAUUCGUUUCUACAUGGAUAACCGUGCUAAUUGUAGGGCUAAUACAUGCUCGGGCUGUUUUCAGUUGCGUUUAUUAGACCUAAAACCUCCCCGCUUCUGCGGUGUUUCGGUGAUUCAUAAUAAAUCAGCGUAUCGCAUGGCUCUGCCGGCGAUGUAUCAUUCAAGUUUCUGACCUAUCAGCUUUGGACGGUAGGGUAUUGGCCUACCGGGGCAACGACGGGUAACGGGGAAUUAGGGUUCGAUUCCGGAGAGGGAGCCUGAGAAACGGCUACCACAUCUAAGGAAGGCAGCAGGC
rnacentral:rRNA from 1 species